rnacentral:lncRNA from 1 species
CUUGGAUGCAGAACUAAGUUGAAAUAAUCAACACAUAUACACAGCUGCUGCUAUACUGAUUGUUAUGGUGAUGAGAAGAUGCCUCAGUGUAGUCAGCUGAAAAUAACUUCUCUGAUUAACUUAGUGACCAGCGUCUUGGUGUCUAGUAGGACAUGGAGUUUUUGUGUUGCCCUGUUGGCCUCCAUUGGCAAGUUUACCUCUCUUUUUUACCUCACCCUCCCUGCUUUCCUAAGACUUUUUUUUUUUUUUUUUUUUUUCCCAUCCCUCUGUCUGUUUGCUUGUUUCACAGGAGAAAGGGCUUUUUGGUGAGGAGAGAAGGCUUCCCAGGGAGAGACAGACACAUAUCUACACGCUACCUGAGAAUUCUUGAUACCACUAGUAUGAAGUAUGUAGAUAUCUGUACAAAGUGUAUUGCUUGAGUAUUUGCUUCAGGAUUGCUCACAUGCUUAUCCCAAUGGGAAAUGGAAAUGACCUGAAAUGAUCAGCUACAGAAAAGCUGCAUGGACACACGAGAAUAGUCAUAGCCGGGCAAUGGAAAAGUUGGUAAGUCAUUAGCUAGAUAAGAUUUUGGAGAAAAUAUGGCCAAAAUGUGACAAGUUAUUUGCAGUUAGCAUUAAAUUAAUUUUUUGGUGCAUAGUUCUAGUCUAUCUUAAUGUGUUUCUAAUUAAACUUUUGCCAUCUGUGCCUGGUAUUUGUAACAGGUCCUCUGCAACUGAGACAGAAAGUGAUGAUCUGCAAAUACAAACUGUGCCCUGUAGCGGCUGUGACUUAAAUGUGAGGAAUAGAAGGGAGAACUACAAAGUUUGUUUCAGCUCAUUGAUGCAUCCCCGGAACAGGAGAAUGGCUGGUGGAAGCUGCAUGAUUCCCAUGGGUCACUACUGUGGGGUGGGCUGCCUUGCUUGACCAUUAGCACGUCUUGGGCCAGAUCUUUUCCUACCAUAGGGUCAUUGAGGUCUACAUAUCCAAAAAUACUCCUGGACUGGAGGAUAGAACGUCCCCUGCGCUUCUUACUUUGGACUCGAUAAAAACAAAUGAACAAAGUGACCUUGCAUAAACAUUAUCCAAAAUGAUGUGCAUGCCAUGUUGUUCCCAGUUCAAAGAAACAGCUCUCUGCUUUAAAAAUAAAAUGGUAGAAAUUGGUAAUUUAACGGCA